CGGCCGCUUGGGUCUGGGUGAGGCCGGCCGCCUGGCGAGCGGUCAACACCUCAUCCGGCGUCGGGAUAACCGCGCUCGGCGUGCGGUUGCUGC
rnacentral:tRNA from 1 species